CGGACGGAAAUCGCGCGAAGAGUGUAAAGGCAGAAGGGAGCUUGACUGCGAGACCAACAAGUCGAGCAGGGACGAAAGUCGGGCUUAGUGAUCCGGCGGUUCCGAGUGGAAGGGCCGUCGCUCAACGGAUAAAAGCUACCCUGGGGAUAACAGGCUUAUUGCGUCCAAGAGUUCACAUCGACGACGCAGUUUGGCACCUCGAUGUCGGCUCAUCACAUCCUGGAGGGGAAGUCCCUUCCAAGGGUUGGGCUGUUCGCCCAUUAAAGUGGUACGCGAGCUGGGUUCAAAACGUCGUGAGACAGUUUGGUCCCUAUCUGUCGUGGGCGUAGGAAGUUUGAAAGGACCUGUUCUUAGUACGAGAGGACCGGAAUGGACACAGCAAUGGUUCACCAGUUGUCACGCCAGUGGCAUCGCUGGGUAGCUACCUGUGGAAUAGAUAAACGCUGAAAGCAUCUAAGCGUGAAGCUAACCUUAAGAUGAGACUUCCCAUUCGCAAGAAGUAAGACCCCUAGAAAGCGACUAGGUUGAUAGGUCGGAAAUGUAAGUACAGCGAUGUAUUCAGUUGACCGAUACUAAUAGGUCGAGGACUUAAU
rnacentral:rRNA from 1 species